GACACACACACACACACACACACACACACACACACACACACAGAGAUAGGUAUACAGUACACACACACACAAAGGCAGAAACACACACACACACAGAGAUAGGUAUACAGUACACACACACACAAAGGCAGAAACACACACACACACAGAGAUAGGUAUACAGUACACACACACACACAGAGAUAGGUAUACAGUACACACACACACACACACACACACACACAGAGAUAGGUAUACAGUACACACACACACACAGAGAUAGGUAUACAGUACACACACACAAAGGCAGAAACAAACACACACACACAGAGAUAGGUAUACAGUACACACACACACACACAGAGAUAGGUAUACAGUACACACACACAAAGGCAGAAACACACACACACACAGAGAUAGGUAUACAGUACACACACACAAAGGCAGAAACACACACACACACACAGAGAUAGGUAUACAGUACACACACACAAAGGCAGAAACACACACACACACAGAGAUAGGUAUACAGUACACACACACAAAGGCAGAAACACACACACACACAGAGAUAGGUAUACAGUACACACACACAAAGGCAGAAACACACACACAUGCAUACAAUUAUAA